GGAGGGGUGGCAGAGCGGUUGAUUGCACCGGUCUUGAAAACCGGAGACGCGCGAGCGUUCAUGGGUUCGAAUCCCAUCCCCUCCG
rnacentral:tRNA from 1 species